rnacentral:rRNA from 1 species
UAGGGAAUCUUCGGCAAUGGACGAAAGUCUGACCGAGCAACGCCGCGUGAGCGAUGAAGGUCUUCGGAUCGUAAAGCUCUGUUGUCAGAGAAGAACACGUGAUAGAGGAAAUGCUAUCAUCUUGACGGUAUCUGACCAGAAAGCCCCGGCUAACUACGUGCCAGCAGCCGCGGUAAUACGUAGGGGGCAAGCGUUGUCCGGAAUUAUUGGGCGUAAAGCGCGCGCAGGCGGCUUCUUAAGUCUGAUGUGAAAGCCCACGGCUCAACCGUGGAGGGUCAUUGGAAACUGGGAAGCUUGAGUGCAGAAGAGGAGAGUGGAAUUCCACGUGUAGCGGUGAAAUGCGUAGAUAUGUGGAGGAACACCAGUGGCGAAAGCGGCUCUCUGGUCUGUAACUGACGCUGAGGCGCGAAAGCGUGGGGAGCAAACA